rnacentral:rRNA from 1 species
AUUGAACGCUGGCGGCAGGCCUAACACAUGCAAGUCGAACGAGUGGCGGACGGGUGAUUAAUGUCUGGGAAACUGCCUGCUGGAGGGGUAUAACUACUGGAAACGGUAGCUAAUACCGCAUACCAUCGGAUGUGCCCCGCUGGGAUUAGCUAGUAGGUGGGGUACAGGAUCACCGAGGCGACGAUCCCUAGCUGGUCUGAGAGGAUGACCAGCCACACUGGAACUGAGAAACGGGCCAGACUCCUACGAGAGGCAGCAGUGGGGAAUAGUGCACAAGUGGCGCAAGCCUGAUGCAGCCAUGCCGCGUGUAUGAAGAAGGCCUUCGGGUUGUAAAGUACUUUCAGCGGGGAGGCGUUACCCGCAGAAGAAGCACCGGCUAACUCCGUGCCAGCAGCCGCGGUAAUAC